rnacentral:lncRNA from 1 species
AGGAAAUGAAUUAAAAAAGUAAAGCCUUCUCUUUCAAGCCUUGACCUAGGUCAAAGGACCCGGUUUGAACCCGGACCGGAUUGAGCUACCCAACAGGCCACUCCGUCAUCUCAACUUGGCCCAGCAAGCUUUUAGCCCAAAAACUUGGGCUUGGUAUAAUUCCUUAGUUUUAAGUUUAUUUUAAUAGCCCAUUUUUAUUUAUUUUUAAUUGUUGUAUUUAUGUCAUAUUAGC